UACAGAGGGGGCAAGCGUUGUUCGGAAUUACUGGGCGUAAAGGGCGCGUAGGCGGCCUUCUAAGUCAGACGUGAAAUCCCUCAGCUUAACUGGGGAACUGCGUCCGAUACUGGAUGGCUUGGAUUUGGGAGAGGGAUGCGGAAUUCCAGGUGUAGCGGUGAAAUGCGUAGAUAUCUGGAGGAACACCGGUGGCGAAGGCGGCAUCCUGGACCAAUAUUGAUGCUGAGGAGCGAAAGCCAGGGGAGCAAACGGG
rnacentral:rRNA from 1 species